GGGAGGGUAAUAUGUAGACAAGCCUUACCCCUACCCGAAAGGGCAGGGAGGCUGUUUCCAAUCGACCCUCGGCGCAUAGGACAAAAGGAAAAACAACUGUAAAACAAAACAAAAACAGAAAGCAUUAGUGACUCCCGCAGAAAAUAGUGAAAAUAAUUAACUAAAAAUAAGAAACAUACAUACAAUCGGAGGCAAUAAAAUCGUGCAGUAACUACCAUAACUAACAGC
rnacentral:lncRNA from 1 species